UCGUCGGGCUCAAAACCCGACAUUUAGCUACAGUCGUGGAGUACCGUUGUGCCUUGGGAGUUUUCAUCUGAAGACUGUGUUUGACGAUACGGGGGUGUCAAAUUACUGCUUGGACCAGCAAGCCAACUGGACUGCAGAACAUGGCACAUCAUGCAGGAUUUCUGAUUUGGAUGAUCCUGUCAUCUUACUCAAAUGUGUCCUGUAUCAAAUAUGGAAAAUACAAGUUCACCAUCUUCUCCUUGAAGGACAUGGACAUGUCACCUCUGCCAAGAACAAACAAAUAUGUCAUCAUGGAUGAGAAUGUUACGCUGCUGGCCCAGGUGACUCCCGUCCGCGGCCUGGACGACUCGGUCAACUCUCAGCUGGUGGAGCACUUCU